rnacentral:lncRNA from 1 species
GCAAUUUUGUGAAUUUUUGAGUCAAAAGGAGUGUUUUACAAGGAGAGACUCAUUAUACAACACCGAACAGCCUAUGAAGAAGCAAAGCGAGUGGAAAAUCUGGUGACAAUUGCGCCAGCACUUCGGGGAAAUAUAUUUUAACCGGUUUUAGAGACGACACGUCAUUAGCAAACACGUGGCGAAUAUAUAGUGGCUGCCGCCAUUUCAACAUUGUUUCCACGCCACGUCACAAAAGAGAUAUUCUUGGCGUCACG